UGCAGUGUUAAAUGGGAGGGGUCACGGAAGACUGGAGCUCAUUGAUGACGCGACCCUCACGUGACCAGGAGUCGACGUGUGCAGAAGUCCUUAUAGUCCAGGGCCUGUUUCCCUGUAGCCGCUCGGUAUUGCUGGAGGAAGAGAAAAGUGCCCCGGAUUCUUUCAGGACUCUUUGGUCUCUUGGGCGCAACACAAAUCGAGUGAGGGAAGGAGGCAGGAAAAUCGCCCGGAUCCCUGCAGGAUUAAUUUAUUAAAAAAGAA
rnacentral:lncRNA from 1 species